AGAGUUCAGCAGGUGAGCCCCGGGCCCGGAUGGUGGGACUGGGCCCAGGUUCCCACCGCAUCGUCCGCCUCAGCCAGAACCUUCUGGUCCCCGCCCCCGGAUAGGGACCCAGGAGGCCCAAGCCCCUUCUUCCGGCGGGGAGUGGGAGCCUCUCGCACUCUCGGCAGCUCCAGACCCUCGGGAUCUCCGUUUACAGUUCAGGACCUCAGCUGCACUUUGGCGCUAACGCCCUGUUUCCCAGGAUGAGAUCUGCUGCUAUCUUCUGUGGGAGAAGAAGGGGCAGAGAAAUACACUUGGCUAGAAAGAAAAGGGACCUGCUAUGCCCACUAACAAAAUAGGACUGUCAAUGGCAGGAUACCAGCUCUGGUCACCAUGGACCCCACUGGAUGAGAGUUUCCAAUGGCUGCGGCACACGACACCUACACCUUCCUCCAAGCACCCAUUCAAGGCCUCCCCCUGCUUCCCACACACACCGUCCGACCUUGAAGUGCAGCUGUGCUUUCAAGAGGUCACUCUAGUCCUAGACAGCCCAUUCCUGGAAUCUGGAGUGAGUCCCAAGUUACCCUGCCACACAUCAGAGUUGCGCACGAUGAACAACAAAGGACUGGUCAGGAAGCCCCAGCCCAUCCGCCUCAGUGGAGUAGAUUCUGUCUUUGGCAGGGUUAUCACAGCUCAGCCACCAAAGUGGACCGGGACUUUCAGAGUUUCAGACAAGUCAGCCUUUUGCAAAAUCAUUAGCAGGGAGCACCAGUGGCCCAUUGGACUGAAGGAGCCUCAGAUUCAGAUGACAGUCACUAUGUGCAAACAGAUGCUGCGCUCUAUCCUCUUGCUGUAUGCAACUUACAAAAAGUGCACCUUUGCCUUGCAGCACUCCAAGUAAAGGGUCCUCAUUUGAUCCCCAUUUACUCACACCAUGCCCUUUGGGCUGUGAGGGACCAACCAAAUAUGAAGCUGUUGAUUUCUCCAAAAUAACCAUCAAAAGUCUGAUGAGAUAAAGAGCACACUGGAAACUGGGAAUGCUUUGAUGGAAAUUCUGCAAGUAAUGGACGCUCUGGCUUGCCUUGGUGACUGUCAAAUAAAAGCAAGUAUAUACUCAGUUCUCUCCACACUUCCCACAUACUUACCAAGCAAAAAGCCCAUGAAAAAUCUGCAGCAGCCUCUGAUAGCAGGAAGACAUUAUGUGGUACUCCUGAACUUUCACUCCUGGUCCAUCAACUACACCGUGAUUCUCAGCAGCUAAACACUAAAAAUAAAAAUGAUUUUAGGACA